UAAGGGAUAUUGGUCAAUGGGGCGGGAGCCUGAACCAGCCAUGCCGCGUGAGGGAAUGAGGCCCUACGGGUCGUAAACCUCUUUUGCCGGGGGAUAACGGGCGCCACGAGUGGCGCCGUGAAGGUACCCGGAGAAUAAGCAUCGGCUAACUCCGUGCCAGCAGCCGCGGUAAUACGGAGGAUGCGAGCGUUAUCCGGAUUUACUGGGCGUAAAGGGUGCGUAGGUGGUUUCUUAAGUCAGGAGUGAAAGGCUACGGCUCAACCGUAGUAAGCUCUUGAAACUGGGAAACUUGAGUGCAGGAGAGGAAAGUGGAAUUCCUAGUGUAGCGGUGAAAUGCGUAGAUAUUAGGAGGAACACCAGUAGCGAAGGCGGCUUUC
rnacentral:rRNA from 1 species